rnacentral:tRNA from 1 species
GAGGGUAUAUCUCAGUGGUAGAGUGCCUGCUUAGCAUGCACAAGGUCCUGGGUUCAAUCCCCAGUACCUUCA